rnacentral:rRNA from 1 species
AGUGAACGCUGGCGGUAGGCCUAACACAUGCAAGUCGAACGGCAGCACAGUAAGAGCUUGCUCUUACGGGUGGCGAGUGGCGGACGGGUGAGGAAUACAUCGGAAUCUACUUUUUCGUGGGGGAUAACGUAGGGAAACUUACGCUGAUACCGCAUACGACCUACGGGUGAAAGCAGGGGAUCUUCGGACCUUGCGCGAUUGAAUGAGCCGAUGUCGGAUUAGCUAGUUGGCGGGGUAAAGGCCCACCAAGGCGACGAUCCGUAGCUGGUCUGAGAGGAUGAUCAGCCACACUGGAACUGGGACACGGUCCAGACUCCUACGGGAGGCAGCAGUGGGGAAUAUUGGACAAAGGGCGCAAGCCUGAUCCAGCCAUACCGCGUGGGUGAAGAAGGCCUUCGGGUUGUAAAGCCCUUUUGUUGGGAAAGAAAAGCAGCAGGUUAAUACCCCGCUGUUCUGACGGUACCCAAAGAAUAAGCACCGGCUAACUUCGUG